UGAAACCUUAGGCGGGCAGAUCCAUUUUCUGCCACCGAAUACAUUAGCAUGGGAUAAUGGAAUAGGACCCUGUCCUCCUAUUUUCAGUUGGUUUUGGCAGCGCGAGGACUAGGGUAAUGAUUAAUAGGGAUAGUUGGGGGCAUUAAUAUUUAAUUGUCAGAGGUGAAAUUCUUGGAUUUAUGAAAGAUUAACUUCUGCGAAAGCAUCUGCCAAGGAUGUUUUCAUUAAUCAAGAACGAAAGUUAGGGGAUCGAAGACGAUCAGAUACCGUCGUAGUCUUAACCAUAAACGAUGCCGACCAGCGAUUAGGAGACGUUGAAUACAAAACACCACCAUCGGCGCGGUCGUCCUUGGCGUCUGUCCCUUUCAACGGGGGCAGGCGCGAGGGCGGUUUAGCCCGGUGGCACCGGUGAAUGACUCCCUAGCAGAUUGGUGGAGAAUGG
rnacentral:rRNA from 1 species